GCCCGCCUAGCUCAAUCGGAUAGAGCGUCAGAUUCUUAAUCUGAAGGCUGCGAGUUCGACCCUCGCGGUGGGCU
rnacentral:tRNA from 1 species